AUGGAAUCGACCGAGAUUGGAGAUGAGAAAUUGGACAUUCCUUCACCCGCAGUGCGUAACCCUUCAGUACGAAGGUCCCCUGCAGCGAUGUCUUCUUUGGCGCCGAGAUCACCAGAUGCUGCAUCAAUAAUUUCUUUGGUGGCGAGGACACCUCUUGCUGAACAAGUUACUUUGUUAGCAAGAUCACCAGUUGCUGCUGCUGUUUCUUUGCUAGCGAGAUCACCAUCAGUUGCUGCUGCAGCUUCUUUAGUGGCGAGAUCACCAGAUGUAGCAGUUUGAGCCCGAGGACUGUUGAGACAAUAAUGUGCUUGCAAGAUUGGUUUAGAGGAUCUAGUGCUGAUAGGGACAAACUGAUCACACAAACAGUUGAGGCUUUCAUCUCUUUUGACAAUGAAGCUGGGCAAGAAGAAGCUGCCCCUCAGGAACCCAGCAAAGUGAAGCACACGAAACUUUCAGCUAGGAAUGAAGAAGUUGCCCCCCAGGAACCCAGCAAGGUGAAGCACUCGAAUCCCAACAAGGCGAGGCACUCUAAAGUUUUGAGUUAGAAGCGAGCUAGUGGGGGAGGCCCCCAAGCCCAUGUUGGAACCGGGGAAGACGAUGCUAGCCCUGAAGGACCCAUCAAGGUGAAGCACUCGACCCAUUCAGCUGAAAACUCGAGACGAAAGCGAGCUAGAGGGGGAGGAUCCCAGACUCGUUGAGAUUAAUGUAUGCUACUGACUACUGCCUGCAAAUGCUCUUUCAGUGUGUCAAGACUUGUAUGUGGCAAGACUUGGAUUAUUUGAUGUUCAAACCUUCUUUACUUUACGGAGUGCGUUCUAGGUAGCAUGAUCGUCAUCGAUGCAGUGGAUCAAUGAAGCCAUGUGUGUUCUUUGUUAUAUCAAAUUGCAUGAUCCUGUGCUGGAAACUAGAUCAUGUGCGUCUUGUUUGUGGAGCACAAAUUGUAAACUACAAAUUUCUUGAGAGUUUGAAUGGAGUAUGUUCUAUUUUCA